AAAGCUUUCUCCUGUGACCAGAAACAACACUGGCUGCUCUGUGACCCUUGAGUCUUCUCACUUUGAUGGCGCUGUUGUAAAGAGUGGUGAAGUGGUGAUUUUUUUCCUGAGCUUCGGAUCAAGCCCGUAUUCCUGAGAGGGCUCCAUGCUUCCCCUGCCAAGGAGGCUGGCACGCACUUACGUGAGCUGAUGGCCUCAGAGAAUGAAAAUUCAGGUAGAAUGAAAUACCAGCUUACCCAGCGGGGAGACAUGUGCUUCCCUGGCCUUGUGAAUGAUGCGUAUUUUUGUGGAUCCUGUCCUCUUCUUGUGUGUUUUACUGACACAACAAACUUGCUGGAAUUAAAAUUCAUUAAUAAAACAAA